AUGUGGUUUGUCCAUAAACAAGUUAUUUUAACAAAGGACAACUUGAUUAAACGCAAUUGGACAGGUCCUACUAGGUGUAGUUUCUGUGAUCGGGAUGAGACGAUUAAGCAUUUAUUCUUUGAUUGCCCGUUGGCUAGAGUUCUUUGGCGGACGAUUCAUAUUGCUUUUAAUCUUCCUCCACCGACUUCUGUCUUUGCUUUAUUUGGGACAUGGCUUCAUGGGGUUGGGCCUGUUCUCACAAGACAUAUUCGGGUUGGAGUUUGCGCUUUGUUAUGGACUAUCUGGAAUUGCAGAAAUGAUUUGGUUUUUAACAGAACAUCACGGAUUCAUUUUUUGCAGGUUAUUUUCCGAGCUACGGCACUAAUCCGUUCAUGGUCGCUACUCACUCCGAUGGAGGCCAGGGAGCAUUUGGUUACUGGAUCUAUCCAUUGGGAGAUGGUCGCUCGGGAUAUCUUCAACCGGUUUGGAUGGCGGUCAUGUAAUAGGAUAGGCAAUUAG
rnacentral:rRNA from 1 species